rnacentral:rRNA from 1 species
ACGGGGGGAGCAAGCGUUGUUCGGAUUUACUGGGCGUAAAGGGCGCGUAGGCGGCCUGUGCAAGUCAGUUGUGAAAUCUCCGGGCUUAACUCGGAACGGUCAACUGAUACUGCUCGGCUAGAGUGCAGAAGGGGCAACUGGAAUUCUCGGUGUAGCGGUGAAAUGCGUAGAUAUCGAGAGGAACACCUGCGGCGAAGGCGGGUUGCUGGGCUGACACUGACGCUGAGGCGCGAAAGCCAGGGGAGCAAACGGGA